rnacentral:rRNA from 1 species
GACGAACGCUGGCGGCGUGCCUAAUACAUGCAAGUAGAACGCUGAAGAGAGGAGCUUGCUCUUCUUGGAUGAGUUGCGAACGGGUGAGUAACGCGUAGGUAACCUGCCUGGUAGCGGGGGAUAACUAUUGGAAACGAUAGCUAAUACCGCAUAAAAUUGAUUAUUGCAUGAUAAUUAAUUGAAAGAUGCAACUGCAUCACUACCAGAUGGACCUGCGUUGUAUUAGCUAGUUGGUGAGGUAACGGCUCACCAAGGCGACGAUACAUAGCCGACCUGAGAGGGUGAUCGGCCACACUGGGACUGAGACACGGCCCAGACUCCUACGGGAGGCAGCAGUAGGGAAUCUUCGGCAAUGGGGGGAACCCUGACCGAGCAACGCCGCGUGAGUGAAGAAGGUUUUCGGAUCGUAAAGCUCUGUUGUAAGAGAAGAACGGGUGUGAGAGCGGAAAGUUCACACUGUGACGGUAUCUUACCAGAAAGGGACGGCUAACUACGUG